AUUUCACUAAUGGAAAACAGCUGACCUCACGUGGAGAAACAGAAAAGUCUGCAACAUCUUUAUUUUAAACUAUUUCUAUCACCAUCAAUAUAACAUCUCUCUUGCUUUUCAUCAUGUUUUUCCCAGCGUUACCACCGCCAUUGUUUCACCACCACCUUCUAGCUAUGUCUCAACCCACCUACUAAUUUGCCAUCCACCGUAAAGGCAAUUCAAACCACCACCACAGCCACCGUCGCAGCCACCCGCCAACACCGUCACUACGACCAGCCAAGGGCGAUCGCCACGUGCCAUCGGCACGUCCUCCACGACAUCGAUACACCACAGCUAUCGUCACAGCCACCUGCCAGUGCCACUCGUCACCGUCACUGUGACUCGCCAACGUCACUGCGACACGCCAAGCACCACCAUACUCACCACAGUCACACCCACCGUCACGCAAUGUAAAUUUGGUGGCGAUGGUGGAAGUGUGAUUUCCUUGGCCGACCGCUGGUGAAACUGUUCACCGAAGUUCGUAAUCAUCUAGCCGCCACCACCGCACCGCAGCUAACCACCGGUUCGCCGUCAACCACCACAAUGACCAUCGCAAACAACCACAACGCUCCACCUACCCUUUCUCUGUCAACUACCAUCGCAACCGUCUGAAAUCUCCACAUCCGUCGUUCGCCUAAGCUGCGCUGCCCGGGAAAACGUCGUGGCGAUAUCUACUGGGUGAACUCCGGCCAACAACGCGCAAAGCGGAGCCAUCGCCGGAACCGGCCACCACUGUACAACCGCCUAAUCUCGUCUCUCUGUCUUCAGCGGUGGUCGAGUCUGUGGUGCCUGCCAAAAUCCUGGUGGUUGAACGUAGGGUAACAUUGUCAUUUUGGAGCUCUUGACUUAGGGUCAAGCACUGUUCAUGCACUAUUACCCCGCCGCCCUUUGUGGCCAAUUGAAGGGCGCAACUAUUCCCUGCUGACGUCACAGGCUUGUGUUUGUAGUAGUUGAAAUUGAAAUGAUUGAAUGGGGCAUUAUGGGGGCGUUAUACCCACUACACCACUUUUGCUAUAAUGCCCCCUUGCUGACUAGGACGCCACAUGGCGCAAAACGCCCCAUGGUGGGGGCAUUAUAGUGUUUAACCAUUACGCAUGGUCUAAUAACAUUUUGGGUAGACUCUUGUGAACAGUAUGGUAAAUAGACAAAUUCAGGACAUUAUUUACGAUAAUGCCACAGGCCACGCCACCACCUGCUUAUCUCCAUCACAGCCUCCCCUCCGUCGGUAUCCCAAAGGCAAACCAGAUUAAAAAUAAGAGAUAGAGAAAACGGGAAGAUAGAAAGAGAGAUGAGAAAGUGAGAAGGGAGGGGCCGGCCACGGUUGUUCCGUGGCGGCACUACGGAGGCAACACCAUUGUACAUCCGAGCGACGGUGACGAUGUUGGACGGUGUAAUAGCUCACUGGUCGGCGUCAGAACAGUACCCGAGGCUGCCUCCGGUGAUGCGGCUACGGUGCUGGCAAGGUUCUUGCUUACCUCGGUUUUAAGGCGCCGCGCUCUUUCCAAGGCCACCAUCAAUUCCGGAUUUGCGAUGUUCAUCUAGGAUCCCAUCUACUAUUGCACAUUCAAACGGUAUCCGUUUCUUUUCCGGACAUCAGGUUUAGGCUUCAAUUAUGUAGACAGAUUGCAAAUUGUAUGAUUUUCCGUGCAGGUUAGAGAUGUGAUAAUCCCUAAUUUGUUAACUUCAGUCUGCUUUACGAUACAUAUUCUUCAAAUUAGUUUUGAAUUUUUGAUGAAAUGGAAGCAGCCGAAGAUCUUGAUGUAGUUCAUGAUAAGUAUCUUAACUCAAUCAUUUCUUGUACAACGGUCUCAAUCUCUUUAUAAAGGUAUAUUCGUGAUGUUCAAUUUUAUAUUUCUUUGCCUUGAUAAGUUCUCCUAAGGGUGAAGGGGGUGCACACCUAAUAGGUGAGUGCACUCUCUUACGCCAAACCAAUCCCCGUGUGCCACGUCAACUCCCCUCUUAAACUCCCCUAACACCCCCAUUUGAUGGCGCCACUCCCCUCUUAACUCCCCUUAUUUUUUUAUUCAAAAAAAAAAAAAAAAAAAAACAAAGAAAAUCUGGGAUUGGUUGAAACUGGCAUGGCCCCACACAAUCAGCCUCUCCUCCAUCGGUGAACCCACGCCCAAGUUCAACCCCGAAUCGGGAUCCCGCUUUGAUGGCGGCGGUGUUCCCGAUCGGGGAAUGCCAUCACCGAACACCCUCCCCGAAGGCGCCCCGGACACCCUAAGGAUUAUACUUUUGACCCGUUUAGCUCAUAAACGGGGUUGAUUUGGGUUGUAUUUUGCCUCAAAAGGGUCCAAAGUUGUGAGAAAUUAUUUAGAAUGCUUGAAACCUUAUUAUCCAUUUUGCAUCAAAUAUAAACACUGGAUUCUGUUUGUAUGAGUAUGGUUCUUUAAUUCAUGAUGAUAUGCAAAAACAUGAAGUUUCUUAUUCGGUUCGAAUUCCAGUUCAAUUUCGAAAACGUCAACCCGAUCAACCUAUGCAAAUAACCUGAUAACCAGCCCGAUGAACACCCCUGGGACCCAUUUAAAAUAAAUCAAAACUCAAAUCAUUCUCUUUAUGAGCAAAUGGGUCGAACCAUAUAUUUCAUUUAAUUUAAAGGUUGGGUGAGCAAACUAUUUCCAGAAAAACAAGCACGGAUUCAAUCUCAACUAGGGAGAAAUAUGCAGAUAAUCACAAUUCAUUUUAGCUGUUGUAACUCAAUUUCAAAAGUGCUUUUAGGAAUUAUCAUUAAUGCUUCACAGUUGUUUAAACCUAUUCACUUUUUAUUCUCCUGGCGCGACUAGAAUCUAGCGAAUCACCGGAGGUUUUUGAGACUUGAAGUUAAAUCAAAGCUCGCUUAAGAAGCUAGCAGAAAAAAGGAUGCUGGAACAUAGCAGAUGAUAUGCAACUUCUUGAAUAUAGGGUAAGUGACUUCAAUUAAUUAACAUUUUUUGAAUAAAUUAGCAUGGAAUACAAGCAAGUAAGCAACAAAUGCCAUAUUAAAGGUAAAAAUGGUUAUUUUUGGUCCAAUCUACGAAUCUCAAGAAUGAUGUAUUAUGUAAAUACAGUUGUAGUGAAUAUAUUUGUUUGUAUAAUGUUCUU